rnacentral:tRNA from 1 species
CGAUAGCUCAGUCGGUAGAGCGCUGGACUGAAAAUCCAUAUGUCGGCGGUUCGAUUCCUCCUCGA